GAUGAACGCUGGCGGCGUGCCUAAUACAUGCAAGUCGAGCGAACAGACGAGGAGCUUGCUCCUCUGACGUUAGCGGCGGACGGGUGAGUAACACGUGGAUAACCUACCUAUAAGACUGGGAUAACUUCGGGAAACCGGAGCUAAUACCGGAUAAUAUAUUGAACCGCAUGGUUCAAUAGUGAAAGACGGUUUUGCUGUCACUUACAGAUGGAUCCGCGCCGCAUUAGCUAGUUGGUAAGGUAACGGCUUACCAAGGCAACGAUGCGUAGCCGACCUGAGAGGGUGAUCGGCCACACUGGAACUGAGACACGGUCCAGACUCCUACGGGAGGCAGCAGUAGGGAAUCUUCCGCAAUGGGCGAAAGCUUGACGGAGCAACGCCGCGUGAGUGAUGAAGGUCUUCGGAUCGUAAAACUCUGUUAUUAGGGAAGAACAAAUGUGUAAGUAACUAUGCAAGUCUUGACGGUACCUAAUCAGAAAGCCACGGCUAACUACGUG
rnacentral:rRNA from 1 species